rfam:Glossina fuscipes fuscipes, whole genome shotgun sequence.
GGGGCUAUAGUUUAAUUGGUAAAAUUUCUGUAUGGCAUAUAGAGGAUUGCAGUUCAAUUCUGCAUAGCUCCA